rnacentral:rRNA from 1 species
AACGAACGCUGGCGGCAUGCCUAACACACGCAAGUCGAACGAGACCUUCGGGUCUAGUGGCGCACGGGUGCGUAACGCGUGGGAAUCUACCCUCGGGUUCGGAAUAACAGUUAGAAAUGACUGCUAAUACCGGAUGAUGUCUUCGGACCAAAGAUUUAUCGCCCAAGGAUGAGCCCGCGUAGGAUUAGGUAGUUGGUGGGGUAAUGGCCCACCAAGCCGACGAUCCUUAGCUGGUCUGAGAGGAUGAUCAGCCACACUGGGACUGAGACACGGCCCAGACUCCUACGGGAGGCAGCAGUGGGGAAUAUUGGACAAUGGGCGAAAGCCUGAUCCAGCAAUGCCGCGUGAGUGAUGAAGGCCUUAGGGUUGUAAAGCUCUUUUACCAGGGAUGAUAAUGACAGUACCUGGAGAAUAAGCUCCGGCUAACUCCGUGCCAGCCGCCGCAGUAA